GUGUGGAGCCUAGGGCUUUGCACAUGCUAGGCAAGUGCCUUACUACAGAGCUACAUCCUCAGACUCCUUUUAUUACUUUGUGCUUAAGAAGUUCUUACCUGAGUUCACUGAGUUGGCUUUUGGGGGGGGGGGGGAUAGGGUCUCACUAUGCAGUUCAGGCUGAUCUUGAACUCACGGUGAUCCUUCUGCUUCAGCCUCCUGAGGGCUGGGAUUACAGGUGUGGGUCACCACGCCCAGUUUUUAUUUUUGUUUCUUGGGAUUGCUGGGGAUCAAGCCCAGGGCCUCAUGAGUGCAAGGCAAGCACUCUUCCAGUGAGGCCCAGCCCAGCCCCAGUGAGUUGGUUUGGCUCUGAGAAAUGCACACUUGAAGGGAGGAGGUCUACCGGCCUCGAGGAGGGCUAGGAUUCCCACAAUUACCCAAGUAGGAUGAAUUCUGCAAUUCAUUUCAAUAUAUUUCUUUUAUGUAUUUCAUGUAACCUCUCAUAUUUGGGGAUAUGGGGAUUAAAACCAGGGAGAACUGAACUAUACCCACAGCCCUUUUUAUUGUUUUAUUUUGAGUCUUGCUAAAUUGCUCAGGCUGGCUUUGAAAUAGGGAUUCUCCUGUGCUAGCCUCCCAAGCAGCUGGGAUUAUAGGCCUUAGCCACUAUGCCAGGCCUCAUGUAACCCCUUCUUCACAAGGGCGAAAUCUUUCGUCUUGCUUUCUUGUUAUGUAGUUCUGGCCUUGAACUCACGAUGUAGUCCAGGCUGGCCUCAAACUGUGGCAAUCCUUCUGCCUCAGCCUCCCCAUUGCUGGGGUUAGAAGCGUGCACCACCACGCCUGGCUUUUUUUCUCUUUUAGCUCGCCCAGCCUCAGUCUGUCUGGAUCACCAUCCAGCACUGGUCCCAAAACACACGUUGCUCAGGGCUCAAGUCUUCGCAGGGCUCACUGCAGCGCCAGGAGCCUUUCCACACCUCCUGCCAACCUGGCCUCACCUGCUUGUCCUCCACUGCACAUUUCCCCUCAGGUCCCCUGGCCGCGCUCCGCCUGCCCAGUUUUCAUAAUCCUCUCAGGCUCCAGCGAGAGAGGCACCGCCCACCGCAGGGCCUGGUCACGUGAGGGAAACACUGCGGGCCCCAGGCUGCGGACGGAGCCUGGAGAGCCCUGUCCUGUUUCCCUCCGCGCUGAAGUCAGGCUGUCAGGAAACCUGGCCCGUCUCCCGCUAAGCGACCUAGACCUCCACCCUCGCAUCACUACAUGCGAAUUAUACCUCUGCAUGAUUUGAGGCAAGCUGUCUGCAGGACUUACUGCAUUAUAGGUUGGAAGACGAGGAGGUGCUGUCAUCGUUCAUUACAUCAGCAAGCGCUCGUGGAGAACCUGCCACACCAACAGACCAGACUGGAUGCUUUGGAUCCAGUCUCUGGCUCAGCUGUCCUGUGAGGGAGCAGCCACAGGGAGACAAACGGCACUUCCUGUGCACUUCGAGCAGCUGGCUAUUUACAAGAGCCCCUGGUCACACAGGUAAUAGCCUUUCCCGUCACCUGGAAGCAUGAAGAAAGGCUUCAGAAAGUGAAUAUAAAAGGGCCGAGUCUUAAGUUCAUGGUCAGGCUUGAGAUAGGGCAACAGGGCAAGGGACGCCCCCAAACCUAGGACCACCAUCAUGACACCCCUCAUCCUGCCCAGGGACAGCCUGCCAGUGGGAGCACAGUUCCUCCUUAAUCAGAAGGAAAGAAACUGAGCAAUCGAGCGAGAGAUUUCCUAGAAAGAAUGCUGGGACCCAAAAUGAUGUCAGGCUUAGACUGAGCACUGCGGACCAUUCGGAGAAGUGCUAUUUUCAGUCUUGCAUAUGAAUCUGGUGCUGUUCAAAGGACCAAUCUUUUCAAUCCUUUCUUUGCAGGUGGGGAUAACCAAUCAAAAAACACUAUUCCAGAUCCUUCAUUUAUAUCUUGCAGGAAUCUGGCCAGGCAUGGUAACACACCCCUGUAAAUCCAGGACUAAGGAGAAGAGACAGGAGAAUUAUUGUAAGCCUGGGCUACAUAGUGAGUUCAAAGCCAGCCUGAACUACAUAGUGAGACCUUGUCUCAAAAAACCAAAAGAAAAAAAAAAAAAGGAAGGUGGGGAGGAAGAAUUGAGAUAUGUAUCAGAUCCCCACAAGGAAUGUAAUAAUUACGUACUGCAAACAUGUAUUAAUAAAAAUAAAAAAUUAAAAGAAUCCAAGAGAGUCUUUCCAUAAAGCAGUUUAAGUUUGGCACCAGGCUGAGUGAUAUAUUUUUUUUUUUUUUGGUACCAGGGGUCGAACUUGGGACCUUGCGCUUGCCAGGCAGGUGGCGGAACCACUGAGCUAAAUCCCUGGCUCGGCUGAGUGAAUUUUUGAUAGGACAAAUGUCCCACUGCGUUAUCUGCGUGAGGGGGAAGUCAGCCUGUGAAUUGUGGAUACAAAAGUCCCUUUUCCCCUUAUCCUCAGCUGGGAGACUUUUCCCUGGCUCACUCUCACCCUGUAGAGUGUACCUCUUUUCUACCUUCAAUAAAUGUACCAUUUUGCUGCCUUU